rnacentral:tRNA from 1 species
AAAAAGGUAGCAUAAAGAUUAAUGCAUUCGUUUUCGGCACGAAGGAUAGGAAGAUCCUCCUUUUUAC